CGCGUAGGCGGCUCGGUAAGUCUGGAGUGAAAGUCCUGCUUUUAAGGUGGGGAUUGCUUUGGAUACUGUCGGGCUUGAGUGCAGGAGAGGUUAGUGGAAUUCCCAGUGUAGCGGUGAAAUGCGUAGAGAUUGGGAGGAACACCAGUGGCGAAGGCGACUAACUGGACUGUAACUGACGCUGAGGCGCGAAAGUGUGGGGAGCAAACA
rnacentral:rRNA from 1 species